UGUUAUAUGACAAAAGUAAAUAUAAAAUUAGGCACCAAUCACUUUCACUGCAGUCGUCCCAUCUCUAUUACGUGAAAAUCCCGUACUCCAUAGCAUUCAUUUUGACAGUUGCUCUUCGUGCUCAUUAUGUGAUGUAAUCGGAUGCGAACAACAAUGGCGUCUGCUGAAAACAAACAGCAAGAGCUGCUAACAGAUUCAAGUAAUCAGUUCUAUCAACCAACAGCUGCAAUCGAAACCACAACACCUACGGCUAUCAGUGAAACUGAUACGUUAGACGAGAUUUCCAGUAGAUCAAUAUAGAAUCCAACCAAAACAAACGCUAUAAAUCAACGCAAAACGAAUCCAAUGCAUCGUGCACCAGCAAUACGAGUAUACUAGAAGAACUGUCAACGAACGGUUCUCGUUCGGCAGAAUUUGAAAACAGAUUGGACAAAGCAGAACCAUAUCUGCAAAGUUACCCAGCGCACGACAGAAAUGUUUUUACAGCGAAAUUCUUAGAAAAGAUGCUGAUACAUUCUGAAGAAGGGAAAUAAAUUUUAAACUACGCCUCGAAAACGGAACUUUCCGAGGCCAAACAGCUAGUACUAUCAAGCAUUAUUGCAAAGCAUCACUUGAAUACCAGAAAAAAGCUUUUAACUGAAGACCUUCGAACAUACGCCCUAGCAGUGACGUCACUUUUUAAGU